rnacentral:rRNA from 1 species
CCUACGGGGGGCUGCAGUGAGGAAUAUUGGUCAAUGGACGAGAGUCUGAACCAGCCAAGUAGCGUGAAGGAUGACUGCCCUAUGGGUUGUAAACUUCUUUUAUAUGGGAAUAAAAUGUUCCACGUGUGGGAUUUUGUAUGUACCAUAUGAAUAAGGAUCGGCUAACUCCGUGCCAGCAGCCGCGGUAAUACGGAGGAUCCGAGCGUUAUCCGGAUUUAUUGGGUUUAAAGGGAGCGUAGGUGGAUUGUUAAGUCAGUUGUGAAAGUUUGCGGCUCAACCGUAAAAUUGCAGUUGAAACUGGCAGUCUUGAGUACAGGAGAGGUGGGCGGAAUUCGUGGUGUAGCGGUGAAAUGCUUAGAUAUCACGAAGAACUCCGAUUGCGAAGGCAGUUCACUGGACUGCAACUGACACUGAGGCUCGAAAGUGUGGGUAUCAAACAGGAUUAGAUACCCUUGUAGUC